GUGCUUGCUUGGGCAGCACAUAUACUAAAAUUAGAACUAUACAGAGAAGAUGAGUAUGGCCUCAGGAAAAAAAAAAAAAAAACAAGAUAAAUGUAU
rnacentral:snRNA from 1 species